GAUGAACGCUGGCGGCGUGCUUAACACAUGCAAGUCGAACGGGAAUUAUUUUAUUGCACCUUCGGUCGAUUUAAUUUAAUUCUAGUGGCGGACGGGUGAGUAACGCGUGGGUAACCUGCCUUAUACAGGGGGAUAACAGUCAGAAGUGGCUGCUAAUACCGCAUCAGCGCACAGAGCUGCAUGGCUCAGUGUGAAAAACUCCGGUGGUAUAAGAUGGACCCGCGUUGGAUUAGCUGGUUGGUGGGGUAACGGCCCACCAAGGCGACGAUCCAUAGCCGGCCUGAGAGGGUGAACGGCCACAUUGGGACUGAGACACGGCCCAGACUCCUACGGGAGGCAGCAGUGGGGAAUAUUGCACAAUGGGGGAAACCCUGAUGCAGCGACGCCGCGUGAAGGAAGAAGUAUCUCGGUAUGUAAACUUCUAUCAGCAGGGAAGAUAGUGACGGUACCUGACUAAGAAGCCCCGGCUAACUACGUG
rnacentral:rRNA from 1 species